CAGUCGCCGCGGUAAGACAGAAGAUGCAAGCGUUAUCCGGAAUGAUUGGGCGUAAAGCGUCUGUAGGUGGCUUUUCAAGUCCACCGUCAAAUCCCAGGGCUCAACCCUGGACAGGCGGUGGAAACUACCAAGCUAGAGUACGGUAGGGGCAGAGGGAAUCUCCGGUGGAGCAGUGAAAUGCGUUGAGAUCGGAAAGAACACCAACGGCGAAAGCACUCUGCUGGGCCGACACUGACACUGAGAGACGAAAGCUAGGGGAGCAAAUGGGAUUAGAUACCCCUGUAGUCCCUGUCUCUUAUAC
rnacentral:rRNA from 1 species